UACGGAGGGUGCAAGCGUUGUCCGGAUUUAUUGGGCGUAAAGAGCGUGUAGGCGGCCAAGCAGGUCCGCUGUGAAAACUCGAGGCUCAACCUCGAGACGUCGGUGGAAACCGUUUGGCUAGAGUCCGGAAGAGGAGAGUGGAAUUCCCGGUGUAGCGGUGAAAUGCGCAGAUAUCGGGAAGAACACCCGUGGCGAAGGCGGCUCUCUGGGACGGUACUGACGCUGAGACGCGAAAGCGUGGGGAGCGAACAGG
rnacentral:rRNA from 1 species